rnacentral:rRNA from 1 species
AUGAACGCUAGCGACAGGCUUAACACAUGCAAGUCGAGGGGCAGCGUGGAGCAGCAAUGCUCUGGACGGCGACCGGCGGAAGGGUGCGUAACACGUGAGCGACUUGCCCGUCACAGGGGGAUAACCGGCGGAAACGGCGACUAAUACCCCAUACCGAUGCGAUGCUGCAUGGCAUUGCAUUGAAAGAUUCAUCGGUGGCGGAUAGGCUCGCGGGACAUUAGCUAGACGGCGGGGCAACGGCCCACCAAGGCGACGAUCAGUAGGGGUUCUGAGAGGAAGGCCCCCCACAUUGGAACUGAGACACGGUCCAAACUCCUACGGGAGGCAGCAGUGAGGAAUAUUGGUCAAUGGACGAGAGUCUGAACCAGCCAAGUAGCGUGAAGGAUGAAGGUCUUACGGAUUGUAAACUUCUUUUAUAAGGGAAUAAACCCUCCCACGUGUGGGAGCUUGUAUGUACCUUAUGAAUAAGCAUCGGCUAACUCCGUG